ensembl:rRNA 5S_rRNA 5S ribosomal RNA
GCCAGCAGCCAUAUCACCCUGCAACUCACAACUGGUAACCCACUGAAGCUAAGCAGGUGUGAGCCUGGGCAGUGCCUGGAUGGGAGACCUCCCGGGAAAAACUAAGGUUGCUGCUGGAA